rnacentral:lncRNA from 1 species
CUAGGGAGAUUUUGGGGAUAAAAAUAAAAUCAAACAUAUAUAAAUUUAACAGGGAAAAACUUUAAAUUUAAGUAGAGGCUUUUACAUUUCUCAUUCCCAUUCCCACGGCGGUCAGAACCCUUAAAAUCCUCUUUGGAGAGGUAUCUCGACAUGUUCACGUCCAGCUUCAUUCUCUCUUGCUUUCUCUGCUUAUUUUAUGCUCGGGAUUCUCAGUUUUUCAAUAUGUAAACUUUAAUGGAGCAGCAAAUGCAGUCAAGAAGAGGAGGCAGUCGUAUCUGUUACAGUGGUGCAAAUGCAGUCUCAUAAGAGGAAAAAAAAAGACUUGUGUCUCAGUAAGUGAGAGAGAGAAAGGAAGAACAUAAAAUCUCAUAGAAGGAGAGAGGAGGAAGAAGAGACACGAGCCAUGGAGGAGAGAGAGACAGGAGCUGCCGUUUAUUUUCAAAUGGAAAACCUGGAUGUGGAUUUGAUUGGCUUGGGUUUGGCAGUGCGAAGAAGAUGCUAGGGGCCUCAAGAGACAGGCGCCGACUGAAGAGUGUAUUAGUCGACCAGAGAGAGUGAGUGAGUGAGAGGGGUGCGGCGCAGUUUAGGAGGAAUUAAGAGAGGGUAUAAUGCCUUAGAUUUAUUAUCCAAGUAUAACACAAGGUGGUGUCUUGGUGGUUUGGUGGUUAGUUGCUGGGUAUUGAAGAGAGGGGUCAGGAGGGUAUCGAAACAUCCUUCCGCCUUCCUCGAUUUUAUAUAAUUUUUAAUUUGUUUUAUUUUAUCUUACUGAACAUAUAUGCUCUAAUAAAUAAUUUAUUAUUAUUGUUUAUUAGAAAUGUUGCCAACCGACACAAAAGCAUUGUGGAG